UCCAGGGUAGCCUAGUGGUCAUGGCAUCUGCCCUGUAAGCGGAAGGUCGUGAGUUCGAUUCCCAUCCCUCGGCA
rnacentral:tRNA from 1 species